UACACCACAGCCCUUCUUCUUCCCGGAGAGAUACUAAUUCCUGUCGGCGCGACACACCGAGAACCAUGGUGGCUUUAUCGACCCCGACAGCAUGUCCUGAGAGAGCCAUGUUUCCGUGAAACAGAGUAUGUUACAAUCCCUGAUGUCUCUCUUGAAAGCAACACUUGCCCUAAUUUCGUCGACCUUGUUAUCUAAGGACUGGACAUUAGCGAGUAAUAUACUAGGAAGCGAUGGGUGGUGUACGCGCCUAUGAAGUCUGACAAGAAGACCGCUCCAUAUUCCUCUUCUCUGGCGACGUUGUUUUGGGUCGGCCUCUGGGAUCAGUUCAAAUGCCCUGGGUGGUGCGGACAAAGGAUCCACUUCGGGAAAGUCGUAUUCCUGGUCGUAGUGCUGGUAAGUUGAGGUCACUCUGAUAUCCAAUAGUUCUUCCCGGCUGUAUGUAAUAACAUUUAAGAUUUUCUGGGCUCACAAUGUAAGAAAUUAUACAUAAAAAAACGAAAUACUGCAAAGUUUCCUAAGGACUAAAAGUGAGGCAGCCAUCUCUGUCGGAGCCCUUCUCCACCGAUUGCUCAGUUUGGCCGAGCGGCCAGCAGUAGGAAGAGUCUUGGUGGUUGCAAACUUCUUCCAUUUAAUAAUGGAAGAAGUUUGUUCUUGGUGGCCUUCAAUGCUGCAUACAUCUUUUGGUUCCCUUCCCCAGAUCUGUGCCUCAACACAAUCCUGUCUCGGAGCUCUACGGACAAUUUCUUCGACCUCAUGGCUUGACUUUUGCACUGACAUGCUCUGUCAACUGUGGGACCUUAUAUAGACAGGUGUGUCCCCAAAAAUGUUCACUUUAUUUAACUAGGCAAGUCAGUUAAGAACACAUUCUUAUUUACAAUGACGGCCUUGUUUAGGGGCAGAACGACAGAUUUUUACCUUGUCAGCUCGGGGAUUCGAUCCAGCAACCUUUCAGUUACUGGCCCAACACUGUAACCACUAGGCUACCUGCUGCCCUACCAAAUCAUGUCCAAUUAAUUUAAUUUACCACAGGUGGACUCCAAUCAAGUUGUAGAAACAUCUAAAGGGUGAUCAAUGGAAACAGGAUGCACCUGAGCUCAAUUUCAAGUCUCAUAGCAAAGGGUCUGAAUACUUUUGUAAUUCAGGUAUUUCUGUUUUUUAUUUGCACUAAAUUUGCAAACAUUACUAAAACAUUUUUUCACUUUGUCAUUAAAAUAUAUGUAAAAAACCAAAAAUGUAGAAAAGUUACUUUUGUCCUCUGAAGAGGGGGGUGGAUGGGCCAAUAAAAUACAAAUAAAGAGUGUAAGUAGAGUUAGGUUGGUGAGUUUCCUUUUACACUGUAAUGAGCUUUGGGUGUCUAGAAAAGAGCCAUGUAAGUCCAAUUAUUAAAUGCUUUGCCAUCUUCCAUUGCUUGAAGACCAUGCCUUUGUACAGAGAUGGUAAUUGGUACAAAAUACCAACAAGGUGGACUGCAAGGCUAUGUUAAGUUAAAUAAAUCAAUGACUAUAGUAACUGCCUAGGUGCCAAAUCAAGUAACAGGUGUAAUGUAGUGAACAUUAUGCGAUAAUCCAGUCCGUGUAUUGGUACUGUGGGAUUCCAGUUCCAUGUUUUACAAUAGACAGACAGUGAGAGUUAUAUGCCAUGUGAACUAUGUAAUGCCAGCAUACUUAUGAGUAAAGUUAAACUAAAGUAUACGAAUGCCCCGACCUCAGUUCUUAUAAACAUAAGCAAAAUGAACAACUGUGAAUGUUACAAUUGGCGACGAGUGAAACGCACAAGAGAAGAAUGCAAUUUACAGGACGAACUACGUGCCUAUAACCCGGCUCGACGUGGAAAAAAAAUGGAUGAACAUAUUCAACAAUGUUCUAGUGGGAUUAGACAUCGCGGAUAACAGAAAGGACAAAGACAUUACUGUUACACUAUGCAGGGUCGGAUGUGUACGAUAUAUUUGACACACUGCAAGAUACCAGAGCAGCUGAUGACUAUGAUACAGCUCAAUGCAUAUUUAUGUCCAAAAGUCAACACAGAAUAUGAAACCUAUGUUUUCAGACAAGCAAGACAAAAUGAAAACGAAACCUUGGACGCUUACCACACAAGAUUGAGAUCUAGCAUCCACAUGCGAGUUUGCAAACGUUGAUAAAGAAAUAAAGCCACAGAUAAUAAUAAGCUGCAGUUCCGCGUUCCUCCGCUGGGUGGCGCUAAAGGGUGGUUCAAUGGCUCUCCAACAACUACUUGAUACAGGCAGUGCACAAGAUGUCGGAUAAACAAGCUGCAGGCAUGGAGAAUGUUCAAUCAAAAUCACAAAAAUUACUUUCAGUGUGCGCUGUACAAAAUAAAAAAAUAUAACAAAAGCCAGGGCUACAUAAAUGAAAGUGACAAACGUCAAAACAGAACAUGCAAUAACCGCAGAGGAAAAUUCCCACACGACAGAGGACAAACAAACUGCCCUGCAAGGUGAAACAAAAUGUAAAGGAUGUGGAAGUUGAAUCACUUUCUAAAAUGCUGUAGGUCACAAACCACAGAGUCCACUCCUCCAGUUGCUGAAAAACUAACCCAACGGCGUCCGAAACACAAAGUGCAUAAAGUGCAGUCACAUGAUGACAAUAAGACAAAAACACAAGACAUCUCGCCAAGCUCAUGAUAAUGCUUAUGUGUAUAAGAAAGAAACCGUCGCAACCACACAUCCAAGUUACCAUUAUGAAUACAACUGUGGAUGUUAUUAUUGAUUCGGGAGCAAGUGUUGACAUUGUUGAUGAUGUCACAUAUGACAAGUUAAUGCCCAGCUGUGAAUUAAAACAGGCCAAGGCAAACAUCUUUGCUUAUGGCCCAUCCGAACCACUUCCACUGAGAGGACAAUUCACAGCACCAGUCCGCUCUAAGACUAAGAUGGUAGAUACCACUUUCUAUGUAAUCCAAAGGUGACUCUGGCUCACUACUACAGACCUUGGACUUCUAAAAAUAAUCAACUCUCUAUCCACUCCAAGUGAACCAGCUGAUGGUUCAUUCAUAAGCCAGCUUACCAAUGAAUACCAGGACCUCUUCUAAGAUAUAGGAAAACUCAGACUUUCAAGUGAAGCUGCACAUUGAUGACACAGUGCAACCAGCAGUACAACCACACAGGAGGAUUCCUUUUCACAUGGGAGAAAAGGUUCAACAGCAGCUUGACACACUAAAAAUCCAAGUUACAUCCAGUCUCAAGGAACAUCACAAACCUUCACUACACAUACUGGCCUCUAGAGAUACACCAGACUGAACUUUGGCAUAAAUUCAGCUGCCGAUGUGUUUCAAAAUGCAAUACAGCAAGUGCUACAAAGCAUUCCCAACGUGAGAAACAUGAGUGAUGACAUCCUAGAUCUCAAGAUGAACACAACGCAAGUCUUAAAGCUGUGUUUCAGAGAUUGAGAGAGAAAAAUCUCACGCUGAACAAAGGAAAAUGUAAAUACAGCAAAACAACACUUGAGUUUUUAUGGCUAUGUUUUCUCAGAGCAAGGCAUUUCCCUCAGAUCCAAAGAAAAUCUAAGCCAUACAGAAUCUGCCAGCGCCUCGGAGGUUCGCAGUCCCCUGGGCAUGACACAAUAGUGCUCACGGUUCAUACCAGACUUUGCAACAACCGCACAGCCUCUUCGCGAGCUCCCAAGAAAAGAUCACACCUGGGGGGGACCACAGCAUCAGUCUGCGAUGAAAAAAAUUAAGAACACGUCUGAUGAAGCACACGACGACAGCCUACUUUGACCCAGCCAAGAGGUCGACACUGUUAGUUGACGACAGCCCAAUUGGUUUAGGUGCCAUACUAAGUCAGCACAACCCUACAAGUGACAAAGACGCCCAUAUCAUUGCAUAUGCCAGCCGAGCGCUCUCAGAGGUUGACCAGCGCUACUCACAAACCGAAAGAGAAGCUUUGGCGAUCAUCUGUUCAUGCGAAAACUUUCACUUGUUUCUCUACGGAGCUCACUUCACGGUCAUCACAGACCAUGUCAAGGCAUCCCAUCGCAAAGGAAACCCCACAAAGAACCUCUCACAUGGCAGAAAUAUGUGAAAGUUAUCAUUGACAACACAGUUCCCAAAGUGAUGACUUUAGAAGAGGUGCGAGAAGAAACAAAGAAAAGGCUCAGCUCUACAGAGGUGAUGCGCCUAUUGUCCACAGGAACCUGGAAAGAUUCACCACAUGACACACAAGAUGCUGAUUUCCAAACAUUAAAAGCACUCUUGCAUGAAACAUGAACUAACAAUCAAUACACAAGCAAAGGUCAUUCUGAGAGGAACACUGCUCGUUCUUCCAAUCUCUCUCCAAGAAAAAAACAAUCAACCUAGCUCACACAGGACAUCUUGGCAUUGUGAAAACAAAACAGCUACUGAGAGAGAAGGUUUGGUUUCCAGGUAUAGAUGACAUGGUGGAAAAAGCAAUUUCACACUGCAUUCCAUGUCAAGCUGCCACUGUAGAAAAUCAUAUGGAACUACUGUCUAUGUCGAAACUACCCAAAGGUCCAUGGCUAGAAGUAUCAGUAAGUUUCUGCAGUCCUUUCCUAUCGGGUGACUACCUACUUGUAGUUGUCGACGAAUACUCAAGGUGUCUGGAAAUUGAAAUCGUAAAGUCCACAUCUGCCACUUCUGUCAUUCCCAAACUUGACAAAGUUUUCUCCUCCUUUGGAGUACCUGCGAUUGUAAAAACGGACAAUGGACCUUCCUUCAAUAACACCUUACUGGCCGAGAGCUAAUGCCGAAGCAGAACGCUUCAUGCGAACACUCAAGAAAACUGUCACCGCCACAAAUUCUGUAGGAUAACCUUGGAAACAAAAUCUCUACAGUUUUCUGAGAAAUGACCACGCAACCCCUCACCGAACUACUCAACAAACCCCAGCAGAGCUGAUGUUUGGAAGAAAACUCUGCACUACACUUCCCACAAUGCCUCACUUUGCACCAAACACCAAGCAACGUGACACUGAUCAAUGUGCAAAGCAACGCAUGAAAGAGACUGCUGACUACAAAAACCGAGCACGACCGUCCACCCUCCAACGGGACAUUAAAACCUGUAAUAUCUUAUGUUUCACCGAGUCGUGGCUGAAUGACAACAUACCGCUGAUAUUACCCCAUUGAAGUAGACAUUUUCAAUGGUUAAGGUUUGGGUUAGGUAAGGGUUAAGGUUAGGCUUUAGGGUAGGACUGUCCCAAGGAUCCCGGAUAGCAAUAACCAUCCAAAAACUUCCGCUUUUGGUUCCUGCGCUGCGGUUCCUGCGCCCCAGCCGGCGACAGGUUCCCGCGCAUUAGCAGGAGUGACCAGUCCGCUCCUGAUCCCUGGGAUUGUCAUUUUUGUUGGUGUCCUGCGGCCGGAGCUGCGCGUCGGGGAGGGGUUACUGUCACGUGUGCUCCCUCUCCGGCCUCUAGGUCACCAGGCUGCUCAUUAUGGCGCACACCUGUCACCAUCGUUAGACUCACCUGGACUCCAUCAACUCCCUGAAUACCUUCCCUAUAUAUGUCACUCCCUUUGGUUCCCUCCCCAGGCGUUAAUGUUUCUGUUUCUUGUCUGUGUGCUGUUAGUGUUCCUUGUUUUGUAUUAUGUUGUGUUUAUUUAUUAAAACACUCACUCCCUG
rnacentral:lncRNA from 1 species